GACGAACGCUGGCGGCGUGCUUAACACAUGCCAGUCGAACGCUGAAGCUUGGUGCUUGCACUGGGUGGAUGAGUGGCGAACGGGUGAGUAAUACGUGAGUAACCUGCCCUUGACUCUGGGAUAAGCCUGGGAAACUGGGUCUAAUACUGGAUACGACAUGUCACCGCAUGGUGGUGUGUGGAAAGGGUUUUACUGGUUUUGGAUGGGCUCACGGCCUAUCAGCUUGUUGGUGGGGUAAUGGCUCACCAAGGCGACGACGGGUAGCCGGCCUGAGAGGGUGACCGGCCACACUGGGACUGAGACACGGCCCAGACUCCUACGGGAGGCAGCAGUGGGGAAUAUUGCACAACGGGCGGAAGCCUGAUGCAGCGACGCCGCGUGAGGGAUGACGGCCUUCGGGUUGUAAACCUCUUUCAGCACGGAAGAAGCGAAAGUGACGGUACGUGCAGAAGAAGCGCCGGCUAACUACGUG
rnacentral:rRNA from 1 species